AGAGUUUGAUCAUGGCUCAGAUUGAACGCUGGCGGCAGGCCUAACACAUGCAAGUCGAGCGGAUGAAGGGAGCUUGCUUCUGGAUUCAGCGGCGGACGGGUGAGUAAUGCCUAGGAAUCUGCCUGGUAGUGGGGGAUAACGUCCGGAAACGGGCGCUAAUACCGCAUACGUCCUGAGGGAGAAAGUGGGGGAUCUUCGGACCUCACGCUAUCAGAUGAGCCUAGGUCGGAUUAGCUAGUUGGUGGGGUAAAGGCCUACCAAGGCGACGAUCCGUAACUGGUCUGAGAGGACGAUCAGUCACACUGGAACUGAGACACGGUCCAGACUCCUACGGGAGGCAGCAGUGGGGAAUAUUGGACAAUGGGCGAAAGCCUGAUCCAGCCAUGCCGCGUGUGUGAAGAAGGUCUUCGGAUUGUAAAGCACUUUAAGUUGGGAGGAAGGGCAGUAAGUUAAUACCUUGCUGUUUUGACGUUACCAACAGAAUAAGCACCGGCUAACUUCGUGCCAGCAGCCGCGGUAAUACGAAGGGUGCAAGCGUUAAUCGGAAUUACUGGGCGUAAAGCGCGCGUAGGUGGUUCAGCAAGUUGGAUGUGAAAUCCCCGGGCUCAACCUGGGAACUGCAUCCAAAACUACUGAGCUAGAGUACGGUAGAGGGUGGUGGAAUUUCCUGUGUAGCGGUGAAAUGCGUAGAUAUAGGAAGGAACACCAGUGGCGAAGGCGACCACCUGGACUGAUACUGACACUGAGGUGCGAAAGCGUGGGGAGUAAACAGGAUUAGAUACCCUGGUAGUCCACGCCGUAAACGAUGUCGACUAGCCGUUGGGAUCCUUGAGAUCUUAGUGGCGCAGCUAACGCGAUAAGUCGACCGCCUGGGGAGUACGGCCGCAAGGUUAAAACUCAAAUGAAUUGACGGGGGCCCGCACAAGCGGUGGAGCAUGUGGUUUAAUUCGAAGCAACGCGAAGAACCUUACCUGGCCUUGACAUGCUGAGAACUUUCCAGAGAUGGAUUGGUGCCUUCGGGAACUCAGACACAGGUGCUGCAUGGCUGUCGUCAGCUCGUGUCGUGAGAUGUUGGGUUAAGUCCCGUAACGAGCGCAACCCUUGUCCUUAGUUACCAGCACCUCGGGUGGGCACUCUAAGGAGACUGCCGGUGACAAACCGGAGGAAGGUGGGGAUGACGUCAAGUCAUCAUGGCCCUUACGGCCAGGGCUACACACGUGCUACAAUGGUCGGUACAAAGGGUUGCCAAGCCGCGAGGUGGAGCUAAUCCCAUAAAACCGAUCGUAGUCCGGAUCGCAGUCUGCAACUCGACUGCGUGAAGUCGGAAUCGCUAGUAAUCGUGAAUCAGAAUGUCACGGUGAAUACGUUCCCGGGCCUUGUACACACCGCCCGUCACACCAUGGGAGUGGGUUGCUCCAGAAGUAGCUAGUCUAACCGCAAGGGGGACGGUUACCACGGAGUGAUUCAUGACUGGGGUGAAGUCGUAACAAGGUA
rnacentral:rRNA from 1 species